UGAACGCUGGCGGCAUGCCUAACACAUGCAAGUCGAACGGAAACGAUGGGAGCUUGCUCCCAGGCGUCGAGUGGCGGACGGGUGAGUAAUACUUAGGAAUCUGCCCAUUAGUGGGGGACAACAUUCGGAAACGGAUGCUAAUACCGCAUACGCCCUACGGGGGAAAGCGGAGGACCUUUCGGGGCUUCGCGCUAAUGGAUGAGCCUAAGUCGGAUUAGCUUGUUGGUGAGGUAAAGGCUCACCAAGGCGACGAUCCGUAGCUGGUCUGAGAGGACGAUCAGCCACACUGGGACUGAGACACGGCCCAGACUCCUACGGGAGGCAGCAGUGGGGAAUAUUGGACAAUGGGCGCAAGCCUGAUCCAGCAAUGCCGCGUGUGUGAAGAAGGCCUGCGGGUUGUAAAGCACUUUCAGUAGAGAAGAAAAGCCUAUGGUUAAUACCCGUGGGUCUUGACGUUACCUACAGAAGAAGCUCCGGCUAACUCC
rnacentral:rRNA from 1 species